GAUGAACGCUGGCGGCGUGCCUAAUACAUGCAAGUCGAGCGAACGGACGAGAAGCUUGCUUCUCUGAUGUUAGCGGCGGACGGGUGAGUAACACGUGGAUAACCUACCUAUAAGACUGGGAUAACUUCGGGAAACCGGAGCUAAUACCGGAUAAUAUUUUGAACCGCAUGGUUCAAAAGUGAAAGACGGUCUUGCUGUCACUUAUAGAUGGAUCCGCGCUGCAUUAGCUAGUUGGUAAGGUAACGGCUUACCAAGGCAACGAUGCAUAGCCGACCUGAGAGGGUGAUCGGCCACACUGGAACUGAAACACGGCCCAGACUCCAAGGGGGGGCAGCAGGAGGAAAUCUGCCGAAAGGGGCGAAAGCCUGAGGGGGCAACGCCGCGGGGGUGAUGAAGUUCUUGGGAUCGUAAAAUCUUGUUAUUAGGGAAAAAAAUAUGUUAAAGUAACUGUCCACAUCUGGACGGUACCAAAACAAAAAGCCACGGCUAACUACG
rnacentral:rRNA from 1 species